UGACAUUCAGGCCAAAACAAGCCUGAAAUGUUGGUUUCAUCAGACCAGAGAAUCGUGUUUCUCAAGGUUUGAGAGUCUUUAGGUGUCUUUUGACAAACUCCAAGCGUGCUGUCGUGUGCCUUUUACUGGAGGAGUGGCUUCUGUCUGGCCACACAUAAAGGCCUGAUUGGUGGAGUGCUGCAGAGAUGAUUGUCCUUCUGGAAGGUUCUCCCAUCUCCACGGAGGGAAGUCUAUCAGAGUGACCAUCGGGUUCUUGGUCACUUCCCUGACCAAGGCCCUUCUCCCCCGAUUGCUCAGUUUGGCCGGGAGGCCAGAUCUAGGAAGAGUCUUGGUGGUUCCAAACUUCUUCUAUUUAAGAAUGACAUUUUUUGGUACCCUUCCCCAGAUCUGUGACUCCACACAAUCCUGUCUCAGAGAUGUACAAAUUCCUUCAAUCUCGUCGCUUGGUUUUUGCUGUGGGACCUUAUAAAUUCAACAAAAAAAGAACGAGCAGUAUGGCUGGUGGCAUUGUCAGGCUGGAGGGUCAUGUCAGGAUGAGCCUGCAGGAAGGGUACCACAUGAGGGAGGAGGAUGUCUUCCCUGUAACGCACAGCAUUGAGAUUGCCUGCAAUGACAACAAGCUCAGUCCGAUGAUGCUGUGACACACCGCCCCAGACCAUGACGGACUCUCCACCUCCAAAUCUAUUCCUCUCCAGAGUACAGGCCUCGGUGUAACCCUCAUUCCUUCGAUUAUAAACGCAAAUCUGACCAUCCCUGGUGAGACAAAACCGCGACUCAUCAGUGAAGAGCACUUUUUGCAAAAAAAAGUAUUUCUGUCUGGUCCAGCGACGGUGGGUUUGUGCCCAUAGGCGAUGUUGUUGCCGGUGAUGUCUGGUGAGGCCCUGCCUUACAACAGCCUACAAGCCCUCAGUCCACCCUCUCUCAGAGUAUUGCGGACAGUCUGAGCGCUGAUGGAGGGAUCCUGGUGUAACUCGGGCAGUUGUUGUUGCCAUUCUGUACCUGUCCCGCAGGUGUGAUGUUCGGAUGUACCGAUCAUGUGCAGGUGUUGUUACACGUGGUCUGUCACUGCAAGGUCGAUCAGCUGUCCGUCCGGUCUCCCUGUAGCGUUGUCUUGGGCGUCUCACAGUACGGACAUUGCAAUUUAUUGCCCUGGCCACAUCUGCAGUCCUCAUGCCUCCUUGCAGCAUGCCUAAGCCACGUUCACGCAGAUGAGCAGAGACCUUGGGCAUCUUUUUUUGGUGUCAGUCAAAAUAUUAUAUUUAUAAUAUUUUAUACAUUUGUAUAAAAUCAGCCACGCAAAACUGUCUUGAGUGACACCUUUCGACACACCCACUCGCCCAUACUCCAGUUGCCAUAGUGGGCUGCAGCUACCCAUAUUUGUAUUGCACACACGCACCUCACUAAGUAAGUGUUGUAGAGGACUGCUAAUUCCUAUGUAGGUGACAUUACAUUACUGCUAAUUCCUAUGUAGGUGACAUUACACUACUAUAGCUGAGACACAUAGUAAAACAGGUUGGGCCCCAUACAGGAUAUCUCUCACACACACACUCACUGUAAUCAUCCAGAACACUGUCACAACAGGAUACUCCUAGCCACAGGUGCUAGCCGGCAGUUCGGCCACAACUCCCCUGAAGAUAGGGACGCACACACUUUACACACUGACCCCAGAAGACAGGGACGACGCACAUACAGUACACACAUAGCUGCCGAGGACACCCAGAUAAGACACCCACAGAUUGGCAGAAAGCCUAGACUUAGUGACUGAAGAUAGCGCACACACCAGAUCUCCUUUUCAGCUGAACAUGGUGUGACGACCAAGAACAGGCAUGGCAGGAUUCUACGAUGACGGACAGACAACAGAGCCAAUGCCGGAUGACUACACCCCAGCCUGAUCCAAUCCGAAGAUCCGAUCUCCUAGAUAUCAACCUACUUUCUGUUCUGUAUAUGAAGCUUGUACCCAUUGUUAACUAGGGCCUUUUUGCUAGUCUCUGAUGAGCUAACAGAGGGGCCCGUAUAUACGCUGUACCAGAUAUCUCCACUCUGAAAUAAACCUGUCGCUUGUCGUACAAUCUACCACCUUGUCUGCAUCGAUCCUUGACCGACUCACCCUUUAUCAUAUCCCAUUAUUAACAGAAAUGGUAGCCAGAGGAUGGUUUAAUAACGAUCCAUCAAAGUGAGUUGAUUUGGGUGUGAGAGGGAGAGAGGGUGAAAGGACGAUUCACGGAGGACAGAGGUGAAGGAAUUCGGGGGAGGACAACAAUUCUGCUCAACUCGGUAAACUGAUCACAAGGCGCACCACAAACAAGGAUUUUAUGCAUUACAGGUGAACUACAGGUGAAGUCACUCAAUCCAGUCCCAGAGGCUUGGGGACCAUAGAUGACCCCUGGUGACAGCUAGCUGAAAGAGCUACCCAGAUUCAUAUCGCACGGCGGAAGGGUAAGACACUUUUUCACUGUCGGACAUUAAAACAGUGUUCGAGAGAAGAACUGGAAUUAACAGAAUUCCGGGGGCCAACUCUCGAAUGAAGUAACCCUACCUGUCCUAUCACCCCUGUUUUUGUUCAUAGAAGUGAGGAUGUGUCUGGCUCUGGCUAAGUGAUGUGUAUUUUGUUCCAAAAUAAGCAUAAGAGAUCCCUAGAUCUGGGUAUUUGUAAGUCGCUCUGGAUAAGAGCGUCUGCUAAAUGACUUAAAUGUAAAUGUAAAUAUAGACAAGAAGUUAGAGUAGAGAUUACAUGAUAACCGACUUCGGACAGUUCUAGGAUUGGAGAAGAGGGUAUCCUUAUAGCAUGGGGAUCCCACAAGGGUGGAUAGGUUUUCCAUGAUAUGGGGAAACCUGGGAGCAAUGUUGAACUUUGUAAAGGUGAUGAAAUCCUACUAACCAUCAAAACUAUUAAGCUCUCUGAUGCAGGCACUCACACCCUCGGACUACAAAGGACGAGGACAGACAUGAUGGGUGUGUUUUCUAUUAAGGUACUGCCAAGACCAGAGGUAACCGGACACACUCCUCUACCACCACUGUGUUAAAAAUACCAUUCAGGUAAUUAAUGUUAGAGACUAUUCGGCUAUUGAUCAAUUAGGAACUGAGACUGGUUUUGAUAGUAGGGACAAUUUGUGGCUGUCUUAUAUGAGGUACACAGCUAAAACCCUGAGAGGAAAGGACUGCAUUAUUUGUAGUCAUGCUAGACCUGUUCUGGCUACACACCCAUUUGCUGUAGGAGAAGGAGAGGGGUGGUUGUGUAUUCUGAGAAGUUUUUACCAGGUUAAGCCCAAUUCAACCCUCUGUUCCUCUUUGAGCCUUGUGUUUCCUGCAGUACCUCCUCAUCGGGCCUCUUGGGGUGUUGAGGCAUAUGGGGGCAAUUAAGAGUGCAUCACGGGUACAGGUAAUGGCAUUGAUUAUGGGGGAUUGCCUGAAGCUGAUUGCAGUAGUAACAUAACCAUUAAUUCCACUUGGCCAGUUACAGGCUGAUGUGAGGUGGAUGAGUGGAGCCAAGAGUGCUGAGACCCAUUCUUAGAGGAGAAUGGCAAGGUACGUGUGCUCUGACCAGUUUGAUAAUUCCACUGACCAUUGUUGAUGUUACUGCUGAACAGCUGUUGGGUUCUGUAUCCAAGGGACCUGAAAACAUUCCAUCCCAUGGGAGACAUAGACGUAGCGCUCAGAGAAUGUAGUUGACAUAAACACUAACCUGUUGGGUGUGCCAGUGGGGGUUCCUCAUGAGUUUCAGGCCUUGGGUAGGAAUGAUGGACUCUUACUACCUACUAUGGGUCCAGCCAUGGUGGAUGCUAGACAGACUGCAUGGAUUAAUUAUAUCUACUAUAAUCAACAGCGUUUUGUGAAUUACUCCCGUGAUGCACUCACUGGUAUGUCUGAACAGCUUGAGGCCACAUUUGGGGUUUCCAGACAGAAUAGACUUGCCUUGGAUAUGCUUCUUGCCAGUCAGGGGGACGUUUGCAAGAUGUUCGGUAAACAAUGUUGCACGUAUAUUCCUAAUAAUACCAGUCCAGAUGAUAUCUAGGGUGGGCUUGAUGCACUAUCUGAUAAGAUGAGGUCCACAGGGGGGGUGGAGGAGUCUGUUCUCUUGGCCUGGUUUGGUAAGUACACUGAUAUGAUGGUUACUGGAUUUCUGACCCUAAUUCUUGUAUUAUUUGUUAUUGAUGUGAUGUGCUGCUUGCAUCAUACCGUGUUCUAAGAAAUAUGUUACAGAUAUGGUGAAGGCUUCAGGCAUGUUGCCUUUGCUUGAUGCUCCAGUUGGAGAUGCCGAUACGGAAGCAUGCUUUCAGGAGAGGAUGGGACUGACUGAGGAUGACCCAUGGUAUGCUGUGGGUGAGGUAGUAGAAUAAUUUUACACCACCACAGUUCCUUGUUAUAAAUUUUUAUGAUAGGUUUUCAUUCCAGUAUGUUUGUUCUCCCUGUUGUAAAGGUUUAGAGUCCCUGGGUGGCAAGGAGCCCACCUGGUACAGGAUAGGAGUAGCUGAGAGGACCAGAUGGUUUCUAAUAAUUCUUUCCUCUGUUUUCCAUGACCAAAGUUUUAUCCUACAUCUUACAUGUCAAUAACAAUAAAGUUUUAUCCUGUUUUUGAUAAGUGACACCCUUGUGGGUGACAAAAGGGGGAAACGCAUAUAACAAUAGACAUAUAUCACUUGUUAUUAAUAAUAAACUUUUUAUUAUUUUCAUGAAAUGCUAUGACUGCUGAAAUAAAGGAUAAUGAGUGUCAAAAGGGGGACUUAAAUUUCACACCCUUGGGGUUAUUUUACAUUAUAGCCAUUACCAUAUAUAUGAUUGAAUAUUAUCUGCUGUUGCCUUGGGUGGAUGUGUGUAUGUGUUAUGUUCUCUAGCUGAUUUGAAACAUUGUUAAAAGUAUCAGGGCCAUGGAACUUUCUCAUGCUGGGAAAAUACAGAAGGGAGGGCACAUUCAGAGCGUGGGGUUGCGAGAACAAGCGGUCUUUUGUUAGAUAACAGGAGCCAGGUGCGAGAUAACGGUAUGGAGCAUGAGACCCAUCUUUUAGUUUUUGCAGCCAUUUUAGUGUUGUGCGGCUGCGGUUGCAUUCCAUGUAUCCGGUCCCUUACUGCUAGAGUUAUCUCCAGAGCUAUUGACCCUUCUUCCCCUUCCCAGAUGUAUCCUCUGCUUGCUAAUGACCUGCCAGAGUUUGAGGAUGAGGUGGAGAAUACCCUUUAGAGAGUGUCACAUCUCUUUGGAGAUGUGAAGAGAGGGUAUCACAACUUUUUCCGGCUGGAAAAGGUUGGCUUAUGUGGACAAACAUUUUACUUAUAGCUUAGAGCUGUUGUUCUCCGCAAUUGUUAAAUGAGGGUUGUAAGUUCCUAGGUGGCUGGUAGCCAUCUUAGUACAUAGUGGGAUUGAGUGGAGAACUUGGUGGUAAUACAUAUACAUCCAUUUCUUUUUAAUGUUGUGCCUUUUUCAUAGCCCCUUUGGGAAAAGUUUUCUUUUGUAAUCUAGUUAGGUUGUGUCACGUCUCUGGGGAGACGUGAAGAGAGGGAUUUGUAGAGGACUGCUAAUUCCUAUGUAGGUGACAUUACAUUACUGCUAAUUCCUAUGUAGGUGACAUUACACUACUAUAGCUGAGACACAUAGUAAAACAGGUUGGGCCCCAUACAGGAUAUAUCUCACACACACACUCACUGUAAUCAUCCAGAACACUGUCACAACAGGAUACUCCUAGCCACAGGUGCUAGCCGGCAGUUCGGCCACAACUCCCCUGAAGAUAGGGACGCACACACUUUACACACUGACCCCAGAAGACAGGGACGACGCACAUACAGUACACACAUAGCUGCCGAGGACACCCAGAUAAGACACCCACAGAUUGGCAGAAAGCCUAGACUUAGUGACUGAAGAUAGCGCACACACCAGAUCUCCUUUUCAGCUGAACAUGGUGUGACGACCAAGAACAGGCAUGGCAGGAUUCUACGAUGACGGACAGACAACAGAGCCAAUGCCGGAUGACUACACCCCAGCCUGAUCCAAUCCGAAGAUCCGAUCUCCUAGAUAUCAACCUACUUUCUGUUCUGUAUAUGAAGCUUGUACCCAUUGUUAACUAGGGCCUUUUUGCUAGUCUCUGAUGAGCUAACAGAGGGGCCCGUAUAUACGCUGUACCAGAUAUCUCCACUCUGAAAUAAACCUGUCGCUUGUCGUACAAUCUA